rnacentral:rRNA from 1 species
AAGUCGGGUGUGAAAUCCCUCGGCCCAACCGAGGAACCGCGCCCGAAACUGCAUGUCUUGAGGACAGGAGGGGAGCGCGGAAUUCCUGGUGGAGCGGUGAAAUGCGUUGAUAUCAGGAGGAACACCGGCGGCGAAGGCGGCGCUCUGGCCUGUUUCUGACGCUGAGGUGCGAAAGCCAGGGGAGCAAACGGGAUUAGAUACCCCGGUAGUCCUGGCCGUAAACGAU